rnacentral:tRNA from 1 species
UCCCUUGUAGCUCAGUCGGUAAAGAAUCUGCCUGCAAUGCAGAAGACCUGGGUUCAAUUCCUGGGUUGGGAG